UUUUUUUUUUUUUUUUUUUUUUUAGGGCUGCACCCAUGGCAUGUGGAAGUUCCCAGGCCAGGGGUCAAAUUGGAGCUGUAUCUGCAGGCCUAUGUCACAACAACGUGGGAUCCAAGCCACAUCUGCAACCUAAACCACAGCUCACGGCAAUGCUGGAUCCUUAACCCACUGAGUAAGGCCAGGAAUUGAACCCACGUUCUCAUGGAUACUAGUUGGAUUCGUUUCCACUGCACCACAGCAGGAAUUCCCUGUUUGUAAGUGCAAAAUGCAAUGUUUGCAUAUAAUUUCAGGAGAUUCAUGCACUCUUUUAAUCCCAGACCCACAGUUAAGUUUCCCUGCGCUUAGUAUCAAGUACCCUCAGAGAAUAUGCAUGAAAAAUUUGCUACACUAGUACUGGGAGAUCUAUGAGUGAUUUACUCAAAUCUCCAGUGAUUAGCAUAAGAGGUAUUAUCAUUACAUUUGCCACUUAAUAAUAAAUGAUGCAUUAAUUAAAUGACUAAUUACAUAGCAUUACAAAACUCCACGAAGAAAAGUAAGAGAGACCAUGGAAACAAAUCUUAAAUAUAAACUUGAUUCUAAAUUAGAGUAAAAGAAUUGUGAAAAACUAGUAAAAGAAUACAUUAAUGAGCAAAUUGAAUGUUUAAAUAUUUCUCUAAUACUCAAAAAAACUUUGAUAAUUAUUAUCAAGACUAAAAAAGAAAAGGGAAAAAAUCCAUGCAGAAAUGAAAUGAAUUAGAAUAAAAAUUAUUCUUUUUAAUUAAAAUAUUAUGGAGUUCCCAUCGUGGCACAGUGGUUAACGAAUCCGACUAGGAACCAUGAGGUUGCGGGUUCGAUCCUUGCCCUUGCUCAGCGGGUAAACGAUCCGGCGUGGCCGUGAGCUGUGGUGUAGGUUGCAGACGCGGCUCAGAUCCUGCGUUGCUGUGGCUCUGGCAUAGGCUGGUGGCUACAGCUCCGAUUCAACUCCUAGCCUGGGAACCUCCAUAUGCCAUGGGAGCAGCCCUAGAAAAGGCAAAAAGACAAAAAAAUAAAAAUAAAAAUAAAUAAAAUAUUAUAUGAUUUAUGUCAAUAGCAUAGAUUAGCUGAAUAAAAAGGAAGAAACCUGCCCCCUAAAAGGUAUGUUGUGAGGUAAGAUGACUCAAGGCCAAAAGUAUUGGAGCAGGGGCUAGAUAAUCAGUUGACAGGGGUAGGAGAAGAGUUUCUAGUGCCGAGUAGGAAGCUGAACUAUAUGCCCUUUAACACCUACACUUCACCAGCAAGGGUAAUGAUAGAUACAAAAUAAACUGAGGAGUGUACUGUGUCAUAAAAGAACAAACUCAUAAAGUAAUUCCAAGAAAAAUGCUGCCUUUCGUACAUGAAUUUCUGAGUUCCCCGAGCACCUUUCCUUUGUCAGCCAGAUGACCACACAGGUGAAAGAGCAACAUAAUCAAUUUAAGCUUAUGGGAGAUGCCAACAGACAACAAACCUGCUGCCUUCCAGCACCACUCAGCCAGGAGAGUAACUAAAAACCUCCAUCAGGAGGUUCCAUUGUGGCUCAGCAGGUUAAGAACCCAACUAGUAUCCAUAAGGAUGCAAGUCUGAUCCCUGGCCUCACUUAGUGGGUUAAGGAUCCAGCGUCAUGACAAGCUGCGGCGUCGAACACAGAUGCAGCUCAGAUCCCGUGUUGCUGUGGCUGUGGUGUAGGUCUCAGCUCCAACUCUGAUUCCACCCCUAGCCGAGGAACUUCCAUAUGCCAUGGGUAGGGCCUUAAAAAAAAAGAAAAUAAAUAAAUUAAAACAAACAAACCUGCAUCAACUCUGAAAAGAGGGAAAGGAAAUAGCCAUGCCUGCUCCUUGGCUAGCCAUCAGCCAGGGCUUGUAUUUCCACAUCCAUGACUGUGACAGAAGAGACCUCUAAUGCCACAAGACGGGUUGUUUCUGGUUUUUUCUAUUUUGUAAGAAAUAUUUACUGCUCAUUUUUAGUUUUAAGCUUCAUCUUGAAAGAUAGCUAGAGUGUUUUUAGCACAUACACUGUAAACUGUUAAUAGAUGAUAUCCUCCAUAAAGAAAAUGAAAUUUUCCCCAUAAAAAUCCAAGUUCCAAUAAUGAUUUGAAUAUUUUUAGACCAAAAAUUAUUAAGUUUUUACUGCUAGAAAAAUUCCCACAUUAAAAAGCAGGGGUGUUUUGUUUUGUUUUGUUUUGGCCAUGCCUGCAGCAUGUGGAAAUUCCCAGGACAGGGAUCAAACCCACCUCACAGCAGCAACCCAAGCCGCAGCAGUGACAAUGCCAGAUCCUUAACCACUAGCAAUGAGAGAACUGUUAUUUUUGUUUUAAAAAGGAAAUUUGGAAAUACUACCUAUCAGGGCCUACUAAAUGCCACAGAGAUGGUUUUCCUCUUCAUUAUUUUCUAGAAGGAGGAAGAUAUUUGUUAGCAGGCCAAUUAAUUGACCUCGUAAUAUGAGCUAACAUUUAUUGGGCCAGAUAAUGUGCAUUAUCACAUUUAUUCUUCACAACAACCCUAUAAAGUAGACACUACUAGAAACUUCAUUUUAUUUAUGAGAGAACUGGAGCACAGAGAAAUGAAGCAAUUUUCCCAGGAUUACACACAAAAUUAAGUAAUAGAGCUAGAAUUCUUUCUCAGAAAAUCUAAUUCCAAAGCACAUGCCCACUCUGAUGUUCUGCUUAAUUCGCCCUGUUCUUGGGUUUGUUUUGUUUUGUUUUUGUUUUCAGGACAUAAGAAUCCAGGCCACCUACAGAGGUUUGUUUGUUUGUUUUUUGAGGCCCAGGGAAGACUUUAUCAGUAAACUGAAAAAUCAGGACUGCAAAUCUCAAACAGUACUUUACAGACGAGUGCAAUUGUGUUCAAACUGAGACAAGUCACAUGAGGAAUAUGCAUCAAACAUCUUCUUUAAAGCACACAGCUAAGGCCAUAUCUUUUCCCAAGUGUCUCUAUUCUUCCCUCCUAUUUUACCCUCUUCUCAAAAGCAAACUCAAAUGUGAGUCUCUUUGGUCACAGCCAGGUCUGCACAGGCCAGGUAAAUUUGGGAUAAAGUAACAAUAAAGAGUAGCAUGGAUGUAAAGAAAGUAGUUAUAAAUAAGCAAUAUGAAGCCUAAAGAUAUAUAUAAAAGAAAGGGAAUAAUUUUAAAGAAUGAGGUUCCCAUUCUCUUGGAUCAAGGAUCUGAAUUGUUCACUCUUCCUCAAGUACUAUUCACUGAGCUACUCUGGGCUCUUCGAAGCAGGGUGCUCAGGCCACCACUACCAUUCCAUAUACCCCAGAGACUGUCCUGCCCAUUUUUCCUUGGUGGCUUAUGGUGAUGCCAUUACAAAGUUAAGGAAAGACACCUCUAACUAUCGUGUGAUAACAGGGAAGUUCUCAGUGCCCUGCUCACUGCCCGCACAUCAGUAUACACAACAUCAUUCUGUGACAAUGAGCUCUUUCUUCCCACUGCUGCUUGACCGCAUCUGCUAAUUUUACUCAGGAUCCUGAUUCUUGACAGCGCCUGUUCAAAGUUCAUAUUUUGAUCUUAUUUCAUUCAUCCACUGAAACUUUUACAUAUAUUUCUAUCUUGGAUUUCUGCUUUCAACCCUAUUCCCAGUGAGGACAAUCUAAAAAUAUAUUCCAACACAAUAUUUAUGGAUUAUUAUGGUCUUGAUAUACAGCUAUAUGUUUAAUUUGAUUCCUUCUAAAUAUUUCUGGGUUCUUUUUUUCUCUUAUUCCCCUGGACCUAUACUCAUAUUCUGUCUCAGUGCGUCCUAAAGCAAAGUCUCAUAUUAUACUCCAAUUAUUACGAGAUUAAGGAGCAAGUAUUUUUUUUUACACAGAUUUUCUAGUAGAAUUAACCCAUAUAAACAAGAAUGAAAAAAAAAACUGAUAAAUUUUUGUGCAAAUUAAAAUAAAAAUAUCUGGAAUACUCAGAAUGUGCCCCUGAGAAACCCAAAACUAUCAUUCAGAGAAAACAGCUAAAGUCCUUCUAGGUAAAAAAUUGAUACUGCCAUUCAUCACAGACAAUAACAUUUUAUUGGAUGUGUUGAAAGAUGACAUAUACUAGCUGUUCUAAAAGGAAGCCUUCGACCUUUUUCUGUUGGUUUGAAAGAUAUAUUUUAAGGAAAAAAAAAAAAACCUUUGAUAACCUAGGUUAGCCUUGGAGGUAGAGGUAGGCAGGAACGUGACAAUCAGAGACAAAAUGGGGAACACAAAGAAUAAUGGGCCCAGUUAGGCAGUCAUAAAAUUUUUUGCAUAAUGAUAUAAAACCCAAUUACAAAAUGACAGGCAUUCUAAAUUAUCCUGCCUAUGUGUUUUGUAUUGCACUUAUAAUAUUUAAAUUCAUGUCACUGGUAUGACUUGUGCAAGCUGUGGCUAAUAAUCACCCUCCAUAAAUCAUGGGGAAACCCAGGCACAACUGGCAGGAAGGAAAAGGUAAAUAUUUUCCUCAAAUCUACAAAUCUGAGUCAAAGAGCAGCAACAGCCAUAUGCGGUGGCUCAAUGAACACAAAGACAUUCUUCAACACCUCUGAACCAUUUGAUAAUGUUAAUUUAUUAAAUAUAAUGUUAUGAUCUUACAAUUACUCAGGCCAGAAAUUUGGGACUCUAUCUUUAAUUUAUCUCUUUUUCUCAGCUCCACAUCCAAUUCACUAGUAAAAAAACUCUAGUCUCUACUUUCAAAUUAUAUACCGAAUCCACUUCCUACCUGAACCAUUACCCAUCUCAUCUCGAUUAUUGCAAUAACCUCCUUCCUAAAUACUCUUUGCUUCUACUCUUACACCCUACAAUCUGUUCUCAACAGAACAAUUCUUUUAAACAUAGGAAAGAUGAUGCCACUUUCUGCUCAUAACUUUAACAGUUUCCCAUUCUAGUAUAAGCCAUAAGACUUAUUAUGAUCUACAAUGUCCUACAUAAUUCUUCCACUUUCUGCUCUACCACUACUUUCCCAAAAUUUUAUUACUUUCUUACUCCACUGCAGCCACAAUGGCUUUCGUGCUUUUCCUCCAACAUAUCAAACUCUUUCCUACCUGUAUUAGUCAGGACUCUCCAGAUAAUAGAACCAAUAGGAUAUACAGAGAUAUAUAAAAGGGGAGAUUUAUUAUAGUAAUUGGCUCAUGUGAUCAUGAAAGUCAUGAAGUCCCACGACUUGCUGUCUGCAUGGAGAACCAGGCAAGUUGGUGGUGUAGUUCAGUCCAAGUCCAAAGGCCUGAGAAGGGGAGUCAAUAAUGUAAAUUCCUGUCAGAGUCUGAAGGUCUGAGAACCAGAAGCACUGAUGUCCAAGAGCAGGAAAAGACAGACAUCCAGCCUCAACCAGAGAGAACCAAUUUGCCCUUCCUCUGUUUCUCUGUCCUAUUCAGACCCUCAACAAAUUGGAUGAUGCCCACUGGCAUUGGUGAGGGCAAACUUCUUUGCUCAGCCUGUUGGUUCAUAUGCCAGUAUCUUCCAGAAAUAUCUUCACAGGCACACCCAGAGAUAAUGUUUAACUAACUAUCUGGGCACUUGUUAGUCCACACAAGUUGACACAUAAAACUAACCAUCACACUACGUAAGAGCAUUUUAGCAGCUGCUGUCCCAACCUACAAUUUAAUUUCCCCAGAUACUGCCAUGGCUCAUUUACCCUCAUUUCCCUUAAGUCUAGAUUAAAAUAUCAACUGAUCAAGCAGGCUGCCUUUACAGGCAUUCUAUAAAUAAUUGCAAGUCACCCCAGGACUUCCCAUUCCCUUUAUACUGAUUUAUGCUUCUCUAUGCACUAAUUACCACAUACCUUAUUCUAUGUCUACAUAUUUUUCUUCCCACCCCCAUUACAAUAUUAGCCCCAUGAAAAUAGAGACUUGAUUUAGCCUAGAUCCUCUACACUUGAGCCUAGACCCAUGCCUAGAACAUAGUAGGAUUUCAAAAAUUAUCUGCCAAAUUAAUAAACAAAUGAAUUCAUUAAUAAGGGGUACAAUAUUAAUCAUUUAUGGCACCUUCUCUAUGUGACUUUAGCUAACAUAAUUUCUCUUUGAAAAGGAAUUCUUGCCAUUUAAAAAAUUUCUCACUCAAGGGAACUAGUGUGUAAAUUUUAGCUUUUAUUUAUAUCACCUUAAAAGUGGAAGGGACUUGAAAGUUUCUCUAGUUGUUUUUUGUUUGUUUGUUUGUUUUUGCUUUUUAGGGCCACACCUGCAGCAUAUCGAAGUUCCCAGGCUAGGGGUC
rnacentral:lncRNA from 1 species